AAUGACAGCUGGAAAGAAGUGUCAGCAUGUGAGAUGCUAAUACAUUUUAGAGGCGAUUUACAACAGACUUGGAGAAGGUAGUCCAAAACGAACACGACAGAAGUGAAGAUUGGAUGAAGAAGAGAGACAGCAGAAGUGCUGAAUAAGGAGGUGGGGUGGUACAAUACUCCCUGAAUUGGAAUUGCUGUGCAUCCUCUCCUGAAGCAAGCAAAAGGGGCCUGUCCUUUGAGGAGGAAGACGAGGGAGAGCGGCA